GGUUCGAUUCUGGCUCAGAUUGAACGCUGGCGGGAUGCUUUACACAUGCAAGUCGAACGUAGCACGGACUUCGGUCUGGUGGCGAGUGGCGAACGGGUGAGUAAUGUAUCGGAACGUGCCUAGUAGCGGGGAUAACUACGCGGCGUAGCUAAUGCACCGCAUACGCCCUUCGGGGAAAGCGGGGGACCUUCGGGCCUCUCGCACUAUUAGAGCGGCCGAUAUCCGGAUUGGCUAGUUGGUGGGGUAACGGCUCACCAAGGCGACGAUCCGUAGCUGGUUUAGAGAGGACGACCAGCCACACUGGGACUGAGACACGGCCCAGACUCCUACGGGAGGCAGCAGUGGGGGAAUUUUGGACAAUGAGGGAAACCCUGAUCCAGCCAUCCCGCGUGUGCGAUAGAAGGCCUUCCGGGUUGUAAAGCACUUUUUGGCAGGAAAGAAACGGCACGGGAUAAUACCCCGUGCAACUGACGGUACCUGCAGAAUGGCACCGGCUAACUACGUGCCAGCAGCCGCGGUAAUACGUAGGGUGCAAGCGUUAAUCGGAAUUACUGGGCGUAAAGCGUGCGCAGGCGGUUCGGAAAGAAAGAUGUGAAAUCCCAGAGCUUAACUUUGGAACUGCAUUUUUAACUACCGAGCUAGAGUGUGUCAGAGGGAGGUGGAAUUCCGCAUGUAGCAGUGAAAUGCGUAGAUAUGCGGAGGAACACCGAUAGCGAAGGCAGCCUCCUGGGAUAACACUGACGCUCAUGCACGAAAAGCGUGGGGAGCAAACAGAGUUAGAUACCCUGGUAGUCCACGCCCUAAACGAUGUCAACUAGCUGUUGGGGCCUUCGGGCCUUGGUAGCGCAGCUAACGCGUGAAGUUGACCGCCUGGGGAAGUACGGUCGCAAGAUUAAAACUCAAAGGAAUUGACGGGGACCCGCACAAGCGGUGGAUGAUGUGGAUUAAUUCGAUGCAACGCGAAAAACCUUACCUACCCUUGACAUGUCUGGAAUCCCGAAGAGAUUUGGGAGUGCUCGCAGAAGAACCGGAACACAGGUGCUGCAUGGCUGUCGUCAGCUCGUGUCGUGAGAUGUUGGGUUAAGUCCGCAACGAGCGCAACCCUUGUCAUUAGGUGCUACGAAGGGCACUCUAAUGAGACUGCCGGUGACAAACCGGAGGAAGGUGGGGAUGACGUCAAGUCCUCAUAUUGCCCUUAUGGGUAGGGCUUCACACGUCAUACAAUGGUCGGGACAGAGGGUCGCCAACCCGCGAGGAGCCAAUCCCAGAAACCCGAUCGUAGUCCGGAUCGCAGUCUGCAACUCGACUGCGUGAAGUCGGAAUCGCUGGCAAUCGCGGAUCAGCAUGUCGCCGUGAAUACGUUCCCGGGUCUUGUACACACCGCCCGUCACACCAUGGGAGUGGGUUUUACCAGAAGUAGUUAGCCUAACCGUAAGGAGGGCGAUUACCACGGUAGGAUUCAUGACUGGGGUGAAGUCGUAACAAAAGGUAG
rnacentral:rRNA from 1 species